rnacentral:rRNA from 1 species
UACAGAGGUCUCAAGCGUUGUUCGGAUUCAUUGGGCGUAAAGGGUGCGUAGGCGGCGCGGUAAGUCGGGGUGUGAAAUUUCGGAGCUUAACUCCGAAACUGCAUUCGAUACUGCGGUGCUUUGAGGACUGGAGAGGAGACUGGAAUUCAUGGUGUAGCAGUGAAAUGCGUAGAGAUCAUGAGGAAGACCAGUGGCGAAGGCGGGUCUCUGGACAGUUCCUGACACUGAGACACGAAGGCCAGGGGAGCAAACGGGG